AUUAGUUGCCAUCAGGUCAAGCGUGGGGACUCUAAUAGAAACUGCCUACGCAAGUAGUGAGGAAGGUGGGGAUGACGUCAAAUCAGCACGGCCCUUACGUCCAGGGCUACACACGUGCUACAAUGGCCGGUACAAAGGGCAGCUACCUGGUGACAGGAUGCUAAUCUCAAAAGCCGGUCUCAGGUUCGGAUCGGAGUCUGCAACCCGACUCCGUGAAGCUGGAAUCGCUAGUAAUCGUGAAUCAGAAUGUCACGGUGAAUACGUUCCCGGGCCUU
rnacentral:rRNA from 1 species